rnacentral:rRNA from 1 species
UACAGAGGUCCCAAGCGUUGUUCGGAUUCACUGGGCGUAAAGGGUGCGUAGGUGGUGAGGUAAGUCGGAUGUGAAAGCUCGGAGCUCAACUCCGAAAUGGCAUUGGAAACUACCUUGCUCGAGGGUUGGAGGGGGGGACUGGAAUGCUUGGUGUAGCAGUGAAAUGCGUAGAUAUCAAGCGGAACACCAGUGGCGAAGGCGAGUCCCUGGACAACUCCUGACACUGAGGCACGAAAGCUAGGGGGAGCAAACAGG